UCUUUAUUGUGGACGGUGGGACAGUCAGAGUGGAAGAGCAAAAUAUCCUUCCAUUGUCAUGGUCUGACCAUCAUCUGAUCUGUUUAAGUUUCGCCGUGUCUUCUAACCUCCGCAGGGGUGGUGGACCCACUAAGAUGGUCCGCCCCAGGAGGCUGAUGGAUCCGGAUGGACUUCUGAGGUCUCUUGGGGAUCUUCCUGUUCUGGAGACUGGCGAACCUGUCGAUGUCCUGGCUGAUCGCUAUAAUAGUGAGCUGGCUAGGGCACUUGACACGAUCGCUCCCGAACGUCCCCUCUCGCUUCGUAGAGUCACGUCGACUCCUUGGUUCACUGAGGAGCUGGCUGUGAUGAAGCGUGCGAGGAGGGGACUAGAGUGCAUCUGGAGGAAAUCUCAGGAUGUGUCUGACCAAGCACGGGCUAAAGCCGCUAUUAAGGCUUACUCCGUGGCUCUGCGAGCAGCCAGGAAAGCUUUCACGACUGCCCGCAUAGCGUCUGCAGCCAACAGGCCAUCGGAGUUGUUCCGAGUUGUUGGGGAGCUCCUGCGGCCUCCCGAGACCCAGGGGCUUCCUGAUGACUUGGCAACUCGGUGCAGCGAUUUCGCGCACCAUUUUGCAGGCAAAGUUGCUCAGAUACGCCGUGAGUUGGACUCCAGCUUAACUGUAGUUCCAGCGGAGGUAACCGAGGUACCUGUCUGUCCGAUCUUGUGGGAUUCUUUCCGGCUUGUUCUUCCUGAUAACGUGGAGGGGAUUCUUGGGUCUGUGAGGGCGACCACUUGCGCUCUGGAUCCUUGUCCUUCUUGGCUGGUUAAGCUGGCCAAAGAUGGGUUGUUGGAUUGGUUUGUGGCUAUUAUAAAUGCCUCCUUGGGUCAGGGGUCAGUUCCAUCCUGCUUUAAGCAGGCAGUAGUAAAACCAUUACUAAAAAAGACCUCUUUAGACCCAUCUGUAUGUAACAACUACAGACCAAUUUCCAACCUCCCAUUUUUGGGCAAGGUUCUGGAGCGGGUGGUUGCCACACAGCUCCAGGAGUUCCUCGAUGACACUGAUUUUCUGGACCGCUCGCAGUCUGGCUUCAGGCCUGGGCACAGUACCGAGACGGCUUUGGUCGCCUUGGUGGAUGACCUCCGCAGGGAACUGGACAGGGGGAGUGUGACCCUGCUGGUUCUCUUGGACAUCUCAGCGGCUUUCGAUACCAUCGACCAUGGUAUCCUUCUGGGGAGGCUCUCUGGGAUGGGGCUCGGUGGCACGGUUCUGCUGUGGCUCCAGUCCUUCCUGGAGGGCCGUUCCCAGAUGGUGAAGCUGGGGGACACCUGCUCGGACCCCUGGCCAUUGACCUGUGGGGUCCCGCAAGGGUCUAUUCUAUCCCCCAUGCUAUUUAACAUCUACAUGAAACCGCUGGGAGAGGUCAUCCGGAGUUUUGGAGGGUGUUGCCAUCUCUACGCAGAUGACACGCAAAUCCACUACUCAUUCCCAUCUGACUCCAAGGAAGCCCCUCGGAUGCUGAACCAGUGCCUGGCCGCUGUGGCGGACUGGAUGAGGAGGAACAAGCUGAGGAUCAAUCCUGACAAGAUAGAGGCCCUCCUGGUCAGUCGCGCGUCGGAUCGGGGUAUUGGGUGGCAACCUGUGCUGGACGGGGUCGUACUCCCCCUGAAAUCACAGGUCCGCAGUUUGGGGGUCCUCCUGGACUCAGCGCUGACGCUUGAGGCGCAGGUGUCGGCGGUGGCCGGGAGGGCCUUCGCACAACUCAAACUUGUGCGCCAACUGCGACCAUACCUCGUGAAGUCUGACUUGACCACGGUGGUGCAUGCCUUGGUUACCUCUAGACUGGACUACUGUAAUGCACUCUACGUGGGGCUUCCCUUGAAGACGGCCCGGAAACUACAAUUGGUCCAGCGCUCGGCUGCCAGGUUAAUUACGGGGGCGAGUUACAGGGAGAGAUCUACUCCCCUGUUCAAGGAGCUCCACUGGCUGCCUUUUAUUUUCCGGUCCCAAUUCAAGGUGUAUACCAUCACAUAUAAAGCCCUAAACGGUUUGGGACCCACCUACCUUCGUGACCGUAUCUCCUACCACAAGCCUACACGAUCCCUUCGCUCAUCAGGGGAAGCUCUCCUGUCCCCACUCCCGAUAUCCCAGACCCGCCUUGUGGGAACAAGGGAGAGGGCCUUUUCUGCUGUGGCCCCCCGAUUGUGGAAUUCUCUGCCCGCGGAGAUUAGGCAAGCCCCCACACUAGCAGCCUUCAAGAAAGACUUGAAAACAUGGCUCUUUCGCUGCGCUUUUGGAGAGUAACCAUUUUAUAUUUCUUUUCCGUUGCUCCCCCUAAUAUCUAACCUCCAGAAUACCCCACUCCCUUAUGACCCUGUUCGCUGUGGUUUUUAUUUUUAUGUCUUUCUCACCCCGAGUUUUAACUUAAUGUUCAUGUGGUCUGCCCUUGUUUUUAUUGUCUCCUUGUUUUAUUUUGUAAUGGAUAUUAUUUAUUGUAUUGUUUCCUGUAUUGUGGUGUGCUGUUCUUUUAUAUGCUGUUUACAUUGUAUUGUUUUGGGCGUGGCCCCAUGUAAGCCGCCCCGAGUCCCCAUUGGGGAGAUGGUGGCGGGGUAUAAAUAAAGUUUUAUUAUUAUUAUUAUUAUUAUUAUUAUUAUUAUUAUUAUUAUUAUAUAUUCCAGUUCAAAACAUAUAAUGUGGGAUUUUAUUCAGCUGUGUGGAAGGGGCUCCAAUUCAAAGCAGAUAUUGUGGAUUAUCUGCCUUGAUAGUCUGGGUUAUAUGGCUAUGUGGAAAGGCCCAAAGUCAAUUUCCAAAAAUAAAUGGGAAACAUGAAAUGCUUGUCAAUCUUUUCAAGAUAAAAUAGUCACAUGCUCAUUCUUCCAGUAGAUGAUAGGGAGAGAGAAAAAUAUCCCUCCCCUGAAAUUUUGGAGCAAAAUCUGCCUCCAAUUUUAAUUUUUGGAAAGACAUUGUGCUCUCUGUAUCCAUUGGGAUUUGGUGCCAGGAUCCUAGUACAUAUUUAUUUAUUUAUUAGCGACAUUUAUAUCCCGCCCAUCUCAUCCCGAAGGGGACUCAGGGCGGUUUACAAGUUAUUGGUAGUACAUACAAUACAUUACAUUACUGGUACAGCACAACAUAAGCAUCAUACACCACCACACUGCACUACACCACCACGCUGCAACACCACUAGCAAUACCACAUGCAACACACAAUACACAAUUAUAAUAGUGUAUUACUAUCACUAUCACACUGUAACAAAUUACAAUGUCACCAUCAAUACCACAUGUACAUACAAUAUAUCACAUCACUAGCACAACACAAUAUCAACAAUAUACAAUAUUAUAUAGUCAUAAUGACACAGGAGACAUGGUGGAAUAAUGUCUUCCUGGCCCCCCGGUUCUUCACUCACAUACCACAAUCCAUGAAUGCUCAAGUCCCAUUAUAUACAAUUGCAUAGCAAAAGGAUGUCCGUUGUUAAAAUGGCAAAACCAAGAUUUGCCUUUUGGAAUUUUUUGAAAACUAGUUUCUCUCUAGGUAAUAAUAAUAAUAAUAAUAAUAAUAAUAAUAAUAAUAAUAAUAAUAAUAAUAAUAAUUUUUACCCGCCUCUCCUUGUGGCUUGAGGCCACAUCACCAUAAAACAUUACAUAAAAUGCACAUAUUAAAAUGUAUUUCUAUGAAGUACAAAUAUUAAAAUACACAGAAUAAAGGAUUCAAAUACAGCAAACACAAGACAUGAGUUUAAAAUUCAUAAUAAUAUCAAGUUUAAUUUGCCCAUAUGAAAAAAAUCAGCACAAAAAGGCGACUUUUCUAUAUUCUGUUUGUCGGUCUUUCACUUCCAACAUCUACAUCCACCUCUUUUAUGUCAUUAAGAGAUUAGUGAAAUACUUCAAUUAGUCUAAUAUAUAACCAAAACAGCUGCAAGGAAAACUGUUGAUAUUCAAUGCAUACAUUUCACAUUUUAUUUUGUAUCAUUUUCUUUUUCUUUUUACUUCCUUUCUACUUGCAUAUUUGCACUCUACAUUUUAGCCACAGCUUAAAAAUGCUUUUCACGGUGACUGCCUGAAACUGCAAACCAUAGACAACUGCUGAUAUUCUACAAGAAAAGUUACGUUCUUGCUUUCCACUGGAAGUCACUCUUCACUGCAAUCCAUGGAUUUAUCCAGAUUUAAGUAUGAGGCAAUAUGGCAGAUGGCAUCCUUGCUUUUAUUAAUUUUUUUUGGCAUCUAAAAUUAAUUCUUUUUGGCAUCUAACAGAAUCUGCAAGCACUUCUUCCUAGGAAUAAAAAUAAUAUCAUAAUAAAUUAAAUAACAAUUUGCUGCCCUUUCAUGUUACCCAGAAUCAGUUGCCAAGGCACACUUCUUGAGUAUAAUCAACUGUAUGCGUAAUGGUGAGGCCAACUCUGAUUUCUUUCCAUAUGUAUAUAAUUUUUAAAAGCAGUACAUUGCAAUUACCCUUCUUCUAACCUUCCCUGUUUCUUUUUCCGACAUAGUUCAAUGCAUAGUCACCUUGUACAUAGUGAAAUCAAUCACAUUUCAUACUCUAUUAUUCCACAGCUUUAAAUGAGAAGAUGUUGGAUCUUAUGUAGAAAGAUGAUAGCAGAUAAAUAAGAGUCCCUAAUUACUGGGAACCAUGAUGCCAGGAGAAGGAGCACCUAAUAACUUCAGUUAAAUAUCAGGCUAUUUCGAAGAUGAAACGGGCUCUCUUGGCCAGGAUGCAUUAGACUGUUUAGAUCCCAUGGGACAAAAAAGCACCCUCAAGUAUUUAAGAAACUAACAAAAACAAAAGUUCAAUACAGACAACCCUCCAUAUUCAUGGAUUCUGCACCCACAGAUUCAAUUACACAAAGCUUGAAAAUACCCCCCCCCCCCAAUCCAAAAAGCUCACCUUGAUUUUGGCAUUUUAUAUAAGGACAGCAUUUUGUUGUGCCAUUGUAUAAAAUGGAGUUUGACUAUCCACAGAUUUUGGUAUCUAAAGGAGUUCCUGGAACCAAAUUCCACCAGAUACCAAGGUCCCACUUCUACAAUUGUGCACAAUGGAAUCUCAAUCGAAAUCCAAUAUAGUAGUUAUGAAUGUUAUGUAUUCAUGUUUCCCUCCAUAGCCCCUAGUUCAGUGAGCCAUGUAAGGGCCAUGAAAGUCCCUCAAUUCCUCAGUUCUGGGCAGCAGCCACAGCAAUCAACAGAGGCCUGUUUCCUUGUCAAUUUGGACGCAGUCGGCCAACAUCUCCAUUCCCUCUUAUUCAAGCGACCUCCAGCAUGAAGGAGAAUUAUGACUGGGGUCCUGCUUCUAACUGUUGCACCAGAGAUUGUUCAUGGAAAUGGGUGGUAACAUCAGUCAACUGCUUCCUGAGUGAUAGGGGAGCAAAACCCCAUCGAUCGCAGCAGCUGCUUUCUAUAAGUGGGAAUCGGGAGCACUGGAUCGGGAUUUGUAGCAAACAAACAAAUAAAAUACAGCAAUAAAAUAAUAAAAAUGUCCCUGUGGUGUCCCAAAUAAAAUUUUUCAAAUAGGUGUUGUGAUCCAUACAUUGUUCACUAGUCCAUAUUUUCAGCUUUUAAUUUCAGUCUGCGCUCCCUCUCUAUAGUCCCCCUCGGGGUAACGUGAAGCUAGCAUGAAAAACAGAAAGCUUUAAAAUUUUAAAAAAUCCCUUUCCCCAAACUAUAGACAACUGCAUAAGGACCUUAGACAAGAGGCUAAGGAACACUCUAUUGUUUUAACUGAGCUGUUUUAAAUAGCUCCUUCUCUUUUAAAAUUGCAUUUUAUUUUUUAUUCAUAACUUAUUUGUAAAUUGUAACUAUUUUGUUUCUGUUCUGUAUGAUUUCAAUGAGAGCCAGCUUGAUGUAGUGAUCUGAGUUUUGGACUAAGAUGCUGGAUGACCACAACUCGAAUUUCUGCUUGGCCAUGGAAGCUCUCUAGGUGCCUUUUGAUUGCAGGAUGUCAUCAGAUGCAUGAAAUCAUUAAAAGAAGAGGAGGAGAAGGAGGAAGAGUAGCAGAAGCUGUCGAGGAGGAGGAGCAGGAGGAGGAAAAAGGAGGAAGAAGGGAAGGAGGAAGAAGAAGGAGGAGGAAGAGGAGGUGAAACAGCAACAAUCGAGGAGGAGGAAGAAGAAGGUGGAGGAACAGCAGCAGCAGCCAAGGAAGAGGAGGAGGAAAAGGAGAUAACAGUGCCCACCCCAAUGGAGGUAAAGGUAAAGGAAAAGGUUUUCCCCUGACAUUGUCUAGUCGUGUCCGACUCUGGGGGUUGGGCCUCAUCUCCAUUAUAAGCCGAAGAGCAGCAUUGUCUGUAGACACCUCCAAGGUCAUGUGGCUGGUAUGACUGCAUGGAGCACAGUUGCCUUCCUGCUGGGGCAGAACCUAUUGAUCUACUCACAAUUUACAUGUUUUUGAACUGCUAGGUUGGCAGAAGCUGGGGUUAACAGCUAACAGCAGAUUCAAGCUUCCUCAUCCUCUCCUUCUCUAAGUCUCUUCCUCCUCCUCCUUCUCUUCCUAUUACUCCUCUUCUACCCCAUGCAUCUGUUGACAUGUCACAUUUCCUCCUGCGAGUCUAACAACUGCUGGACUUGAAGGAGUUGAGGGGAUUCUGGCUUAGGCUUUGGCUCCCACUCAAAGGCUCAGCCUGUCACUAGUUUGCCUCUGGGUGCAUCUAUACUGUAGAAUUAAGGCAGUUUGACACCACCUGAGCUUCCAUGGCUCAAUGCUAUGGAAUCCUGGAAGUUGCAGUUUGGAGAGGCAACUGCAUUCCUUGGCAAUGAAGCAGCAGAUUUUAUAAAACUGCAGCCCCUAAGAUUCAAUAGCAUUAAACUAUGGUAGUUCCACUAGUAUCAAAUUGUAUUAAUUCCACAGUGUUGAGGAACUACAAAUCUGUCUGCCUAAUCUUAGAAAGGAUACGAUUGGAUUGAAGUUUCUAUCAUUCCUGGCCUAGAAGCUGUCAGAGGUCUCCCCAACCCCAGAAUGUGGGACAUAAGAGAAAAAGUAAAUUACUUUGCCCUGUCCAAACUAUGCUAUGUUCUGCACACUAGUUGGGAUAAACAUUGCAGGGUGAUUAUUUCUUCUUCUUCUUCUUCUUCUUCUUCUUCUUCUUCUUCUUCUUCUUCUUCUUCUUCUUCUUCUUCUUCUUCUUCUUCUUCUUCUCCGUACAGCCCUGCCACAUGCACAAUGGAGGACCUCCUUCCAAUGACACUAAAGGCACUCCAAAUGGACAGCUUCUGGUCAAAAGGAAUUUAGCACAAUGCUAAAUUUUUAACUUUGUGGUUUUUCUAUACAUUAUAACCAUAUUCUCAAUUUGCUGCAGACACGAUAAAUAAAUAAAUAAAUAAAUAACUUGAGCAUCCCUGGUCCGGAAUGUUGAAAAUCCUCCAAAAUUGCCCACCUUUGCUUUCUAAUGGUUCAGCAUCCCCAAACUAUGUUUUCAUGCAAAAAUAUUAAAAUAUUUCUAUAUAAUUACCUCCAGGUAAUGAAAGAUAAAUUCCAUGUUAUAAUAUUUUAUCAUCUAUAUAAGAUGCAAAAUCCCAAACAUUUCUGCUCCCAGCCAUUUCAGACAAAGAAUACUUAUUAUUAUUACUUAGUUAUAUACUGAGUUAUAUACUUAGUUAUAUCCUCUUCCUUGGCUGCUGUUGCUGUUCCUCAAUGUACAUAGAGCUGGGAAAGACCACAAGGGCAAUCCAAUCCAACCCCCUACUGUGUAGAAGGAAUAUGCAAUCAAAGCACCCUCAACAGAUGGCCAUCCAGACUCUUCUUUAAAAAUAUCCAGAGGAGACUCCUAGUUUCCAGAGUAGCAGAAAACAAGCUUGGUCCCUGUCAAUGUGACAUCCUUUCAAUGGCUAUCAUCUAUCCUCUCAGCUUUCUUUUCUCUAUGGCACUUUACAAUUAAAACAACCAAAGCAGUGGGCAAAAUCUAAAGAUAAAUGUGUACACACAUACACAGGGGGAAGGAAGGAAUAACAAAAUAUGGAAUGCUGAAAUACAAUUGAGAUAAACUUCAGAAUACAAUAUAACAUAAAGCAAGCUGACCAAUAUAUAUAAUCAAAAAUAGGCAAGAUUCUAAAACAAUGUUAAACUAAAAUUCUAAAAAUAAAUCCUUUUGUAGUCUGUAAAAUAGAAUCUAAUAGCAAUUUUAUUCUGCAUUCAUCCAUUUGCAUGAUGUUAGUAAUGCUAAUGGUGCUGAAAUGUGCACUUUCCCAAGGCAAAAUAAUAGGCUGAAUGUAUGUGUUCUGCAUCCUUAAGAGAAAAGCUCAAAGUCCCAACAUGAGCAGGCAAUGCACACAAUCUGACAUAAAGAUUUUCAUUUUUGUGAUAGAAUGUGGUUGUUGCAUCAAGAGCAGACAAUUAAAAUACUUUAUUAGACAUCAUUGAUCCUUGUCUAUUCUACAAAUUUCAUUUAGACUACAAUUGUCUGGUGCUGAAAUGAUUUCUGGACUCUCCGUCUGCAUGCCAUUUUCUCUCCAUGAUGUGUUGUGUUGCCUUGGCUGAGCUUCCUGAAUAAUUUCUGUGUGGUUCUUCUCGACCUGUUCCCCUUUUGUAAUGUGUUCUGUGCUCGUGUUUUGAGCUUCUGUGAAGAAACCUUGGGUUAUGUGCGUAUGGUGGGUAUUGUGUUCAGUCAUGUAGCCCUUAUGUAUGUGUUGCCAUGGAGUGAGCAGGCUGCAAUCUUUCCUCCCUUGGUGUUUUGAAUUGCUUUGCAAGGUGGCUUUCUGAUGAGACCUGUGUCAGAGAUUUGAGUUAGCAGUCAUGUUGACAUAGUGGCUAAGAGUGUAGGAUGUGUAUGCCAGUAGAGCCUGAAUAAUAUAUGUGAAGUGCUUUGGCUUCUUGCAAACACAUUAGAAAGGCUAUUUUUUUCCUCGUUCUGUGAGCAAAGUCCUUGGAACAAGGAUAAGAUGUGACGAACGUCACAUCUCUCCAUCCAGCUUCAUCACAUCCCCUGCUCAAACCUAAUUUUGAGCUUGCAUGGCACAGUUGUGCUGUUUCUACCCUUUCUCCUUGCUGACAUGAAUGAUGGUUACCAUGACUAAACUGUUAAGGGCACUGCAUUGAGACAGAAGCACACCUGCAAGCCUGUGCGGUAUGUUCCUCCUUUGAAUGAGAGGCCUAUGUGCUGUAAGUGCCUUUGUGAAGCUGCUUGUACAAGAGACAGCCGUAUUUUUACAAGAUGAUCUCGGCCAGCUAGAUCCUGCUCUUACCUUUUGUGUCAUCUGUAGUACUUUGCCAGCUGCUUGACGUGAAACUUACUCCAGCGUUUGCAAACCCUGAGGACAAUAUUAAGUUGGGCAUGAAAACUGCUGAAUGGGUAGCACAUCCUGUGUAAUCAAUGCCAACGAAGAGGACACAAAAUGUCAUCAAGGAGAGUCACUGCAUGAAAACAACAUUGCUUGACAAAACAGUCAGGAAGUUCACAUUUUUGAAGCCAGAAAUGCUACUGAGCAUGAAAAUUCUGCAGCCAAAUAUAUACAAGUCUACAAUCACACAGAUGGGUGAUUAACACAUGCAUUGAUACAUUUUUACUUAAUCCAACUUUAUCUGCAGUGUCCUCUCCUAAGCAUUUGUUACAUCGUUGUUGCUUAAAAGGGGGCUCCUGAUUUGUUGGAGUUCAUAACUGGAGAGAAUUCUAUUGUUAGUUACUCACCAAUUCAAUCUUACACCA